CGAGAGUUUUGCGUAGGACGGUUACCUUACAGAACCGAUUGCGAAGUUUAGCUCUUCGGUUUUGUUCAGCUGCUCAAAUGACACUAUUAAAGUGUCAGCAUUGUGUUAGAGAGGAUAAAGCAGCAGAGGACACAGAUCAUGUGGAGAAAAUCUUGCCACCCGGCUACAGUCAUCUACUUUGUCAUCAUGAACUGCUGGAAAUGUCGGGGGAUAUUGAAAACUUCAGAGCGGCUCUUAAAUUGCAGAUGACUACUGAGGAGCAGGUCCAGAAGUGGUUGGAGGACUUCCAGAAGUCCUCAGCUUUAACAUGGAGGAAAUCCAGGACAUACCCUGACUCUGGACGCUACAACAAAUACAGAGUGGAUCUGAGAUGCCAGCACAAAACAUACAGUUCAUCAUCCAAGACAACCAAAAAUACCAACUGCCCUGCCACCAUGUUUCUGAUUCUCAAGAGAUUUAUGUAUGAAAGAAAGUCCAGAUCAGGAGACCCACACCUUGAAGAGGGCUAUUUCCUUCAUGUGAACUUGAGGAAUGAACAUAAUCAUAGACUGAACACAGCUGAGGCCAUGAGGUGGAGAGAUGUGUCGAAUGACACCAUUGAAAAGCUACAACAGCUCUACAAAAGUGGUCACUCUCCUUCAUCUGCACUCAAGAAUAUUAAAUACAGCCUGCAGGAAGAGGAAGGCGAUAACUACAUUUACGCUACUGCGGAUCGAUCCAUCUGCCCAGACCUUCAGUUUUGCUACAGAUUAUACCACAAGCUUUUUCAGAAAGCAUGUGCUGAACCUGCAGGGAAGGACAUUUCAGACGAGCUUUUUAAACCCUUAGAGUUGGAACAAUCAUGGGAGACAGCGGCAAUGACAGAAGGACACACCGCAUGCAUUGAAGAUGGAGUGUCUGUUGAUGCUGUGCCAAUCAUCACUACAGAGCAUUUCACAGAAGACAAUGAGCCAGGCCCAAGUGCAGCUGAAGAGGUUGUUGGGUCUUUAGAUGGACAGCUUGAGGAGAUUUUUGGGAUGCUGAAAAAGAAGCUGAAUGAGGAUGCAAGUUUUACACCGCCUAUAAGAGCUUUUGUGUCCAGUUUCUUUCAGAUAAAGACUGACAGUGCCCUUCAGGCAUCACUCUUUUCCUUUGGUAAGACCACUCCGAUAAUCAAUCAGAUCAAUGUACUACCAGCUACAGGUCCAUGGAGAAGAGGGGCUUUGGCUGGACGAAGAGCUGUUGGCAGACCUCCAAAGAACUCAAGAAGAGAGCACCCAUACUGCAACAGCAGAUCCAACAACAAUCCCCAAACUCUCACAUUCUGUUUGCAAGACAAUAACACCCUUGAGAAGACAGACUAACCUCCUGUCCCCAACACCUCCGCCACCAGCAUGUGGUGGGUUAAGAGAUCCAAACACUAUAUAGAAGCUAUUAAAUCAAUAAGCCUUGAGAAGCUUGGCAUGGACAUCAUGAAACCUGAGCAUUACAAGAAAUCAAAGAGAAAACAUUGUUUGUAAUUUUGAUCAUAAUGUAAUAAACUGGCUCCAUUCAGGUAUGAAACACCCACUUUUCACCAUGCAGUCAAUUUACUGAAUAAAAAUUAAGUUCCACCCUUCAUUUUUCCCCUAUUCAUUGAAUGUUCUGUUUCAGUUUGUA
ensembl:lncRNA uncharacterized LOC107564224